AGUGAACGCUGGCGGUGGGCCUAACACAUGCAAGUCGAACGACCACACAGUAAGCUCUUGCUCUUACCGGUGGCGAGUGACGGACGGGUGACACAUACAUCACAAUCUACUAUUUCUUGGAGGACAACGUAGAACCGCUUCCACUAAUACAUAAUACGACCUACCGCUUGGAGCAGUAGAUCUUCACGCUUUUGCCGUUUCAUUGAGAUGGUUUCGGGUCGCAUUAGCUAGUUGGUAAGGUAACGGCCUACCAAGGCAACGAUGCGUAGCUGACCUGAGAGGGUGAUCGGCCACACUGGAACUGAGACACGGUCCAGACUCCUACGGGAGGCAGCAGUGGGGAAUAUUGGGCAAUGGGCGAAAGCCUGACGCAGCAAUACCGCGUGAGUGAAGAAGGUCUUCGGGUUGUAAAGCCCUUUUAUUGGGAAAGAACAGAAGUAGGUGUAUAUACCGACGUCUUGACGGUACCUAAUGAAUAAGCAACGGCUAACUACGUG
rnacentral:rRNA from 1 species